UUUUUGGACUUAAAACCAAAACAUGUUGAUAUACCUGCAGCAUUUAUUAUUAUCAUUAAUAAUGUAUAUUCCGUAAAUCAAACUCAGGAAAUAAACAGAUACGUUCAAUGGUUGAAAUACUAUAGAGACAUAUUUGUUAAAAAGGAAGAAAGGGAUAUUAUAACGCAGACUUCUGGCAAAAUUGAAAGCAAAAUAUCAAUUCGCAACAGUCAAAUCGAAAACAAAAACGGUAUUUUGAUAGUAUUUUCUAUUGGUAAAUGUAAAAAAUUGCAGCUUUACAUUGUGUGCGUGGAUAUACCUCAUAUUAAUAAUUUUUA